UACGUAGGGUGCAAGCGUUUGUCCGGAAUUAUUGGGCGUAAAGAGCUCGUAGGCGGUCUGUCGCGUCUGCUGUGAAAACUCAGGGCUUAACCCUGAGCUUGCAGUGGGUACGGGCAGACUAGAGUGCGGUAGGGGAGACUGGAAUUCCUGGUGUAGCGGUGAAAUGCGCAGAUAUCAGGAGGAACACCGGUGGCGAAGGCGGAUCUCUGGGCCGUAACUGACGCUGGAGGAGCGGAAAGCAUGGGGAGCGAACAGG
rnacentral:rRNA from 1 species